AGAGUUUGAUCCUGGCUCAGGAUGAACGCUAGCGGCAGGCCUAAUACAUGCAAGUCGAACGGUUCAUGGUUUUCGGAUCAUGGAUAGUGGCGCACGGGUGCGUAACGCGUACACAACAUACCCUUUACUGGGGGAUAGCGGUGGGAAACUGCCAGUAAUACCCCAUGCCCUCGCGAGGUGGCAUUAUUUUGCGAGGAAAGUUGAGGCGGUAAAGGAUUGGUGUGCGUCCGAUUAGCUAGUUGGCGGGGUAACGGCCCACCAAGGCGACGAUCGGUAGGGGGUGUGAGAGCAUGGCCCCCCACACGGGUACUGAGACACGGACCCGACUCCUACGGGAGGCAGCAGUAAGGAAUAUUGGACAAUGGGCGGAAGACUGAUCCAGCCAUGCCGCGUGAAGGAAGAAAGCGCUCAGCGUUGUAAACUUCUUUUGGAUGGGAAUAAUAACCUCUACGUGAUAGGGGCUUGAAGGUACCAUCAGAAUAAGCACCGGCUAACUCCGUGCCAGCACCCGCGGUAAUACGGAGGGUGCGAGCGUUAUCCGGAUUCACUGGGUUUAAAGGGUGCGUAGGUGGUCUUGUAAGUCAGUGGUGAAAUACCGCAGCUCAACUGCGGAACUGCCAUUGAUACUGCUUGACUUGAAUUAGGUUGAGGUGGAUGGAAUAUUACAUGUAGCGGUGAAAUGCUUAGAUAUGUAAUAGAACACCGAUUGCGAAGGCAGUUCACUAUACCUAUAUUGACACUGAGGCACGAAAGCGUGGGGAUCAAACAGGAUUAGAUACCCUGGUAGUCCACGCCCUAAACGAUGUAUACUCGACAUAUGCGAUACACUGUAUGUGUCUAAGCGAAAGCGUUAAGUAUACCACCUGGGAAGUACGUCCGCAAGGAUGAAACUCAAAGGAAUUGGCGGGGGUCCGCACAAGCGGUGGAGCAUGUGGUUUAAUUCGAUGAUACGCGAGGAACCUUACCUGGGCUAGAAUGUAACUUGACCGAUCCUGAAAGGGGUCUUUGUAGCAAUACACAGGUUACAAGGUGCUGCAUGGUUGUCGUCAGCUCGUGCCGUGAGGUGUUGGGUUAAGUCCCGCAACGAGCGCAACCCCUAUCUUUAGUUGCCAGCGAGUAAUGUCGGGGACUCUAAAGAGACUGCCUGCGUAAGCAGAGAGGAAGGAGGGGAUGACGUCAAAUCAUCAUGGCCUUUAUGCCCAGGGCUACACACGUGCUACAAUGGUGGAUACAAAGAGCAGCCAACUGGCGACAGUGAGCAAAUCUCAAAAAAACCAUCUCAGUUCGGAUUGAAGUCUGCAACUCGACUUCAUGAAGCUGGAAUCGCUAGUAAUCGCAAAUCAGCAAUGUUGCGGUGAAUACGUUCCCGGACCUUGCACACACCGCCCGUCAAGCCAUGGAAGUUGGGUGUACCUUAAGACGAUAACCGCAAGGAGUUGUCCAAGGUAAAACCAGUAACUGGGGUUAAGUCGUAACAAGGUAACC
rnacentral:rRNA from 1 species